AUGCACAUAUCGUGUUGGGAUGCAUUUUUUGGAGUACUAAUCACAAAUCAAGUUGAUGAAUUUUGUUCACAGCAUGGCAAGUUCAUAUCUGGUCACAUGGCAAAUUCAUUAAAAAAACAUUCUGUUAUCACAAAAAAAAGCAUGGUAAAAGUGUAUAAAAUCUUUGAAAUGUCCACAUGGCAAAACUAUGAAAAUUUUCGGACCUGUUACAUGGGCAAAAUUAUGUACUCCAAGACAUGGAAAAAUUUAUGCAUAUUCGGUGUACAAAAGACACGGAAAAUUUAUGCAUUUUUAUCCACUAACUGA
rnacentral:rRNA from 1 species